rnacentral:rRNA from 7 species
UGUUUCGGCUAGGGGGUCAUCCCGACUUACCAACCCGAUGCAAACUACGAAUACCGAAGAAUGUUAUCACGGGAGACACACGGCGGGUGCUAACGUCCGUCGUGAAGAGGGAAACAACCCAGACCGCCAGCUAAGGUCCCAAAGUCAUGGUUAAGUGGGAAACGAUGUGGGAAGGCACAGACAGCCAGGAUGUUGGCUUAGAAGCAGCCAUCAUUUAAAGAAAGCGUAAUAGCUCACUGGUCGAGUCGGCCUGCGCGGAAGAUGUAACGGGGCUAAACCAUG